CAGCAUCUAGAAAUGGUAGGGACUCAGGCUCAAAAUUUGGCAGGCAAUCAAUGUCUCCAACUGCUACUAGAAGUCUUAGUUCAUCACAUAGUCAAGAUCGAGAUCGAAUUAGCUCACACAGUAGAGGUUCUGUGGCAUCAUCUGGUGAUGAUGAUGUGGACUCUGUGCAAUCCAUUUAUGUGGGUAGCUUAGACCGCUUGGCUUCAAAGAGGACUGACACAUUUUUAAAUACUAGAGCUAUGGCAUUUUCUAAGAAAUCAACGA
rnacentral:misc_RNA from 1 species